UACGUAGGGACCGAGCGUUGUCCGGAUUCAUUGGGCGUAAAGAGCGUGUAGGCGGCCAGAUAGGUCUGCUGUGAAAACUCGAGGCUCAACCUCGAGCUGUCGGCGGAAACCAUCCGGCUAGAGUCCGGAAGAGGAGAGUGGAAUUCCCGGUGUAGCGGUGAAAUGCGCAGAUAUCAGGAGGAACACCGGUGGCGAAGGCGGGUCUCUGGGCAGUAACUGACGCUGAGGAGCGAAAGCGUGGGGAGCGAACAGG
rnacentral:rRNA from 1 species